rnacentral:tRNA from 1 species
AAAGAUAAUUUUAUUUAAAUUGUCAAUUUAUUUUUUCUUUUAGUUUAUCUUAA